AAGUCGUAACAAGGUCUCCGUUGGUGAACCAGCGGAGGGAUCAUUACUGAGUACUACACUCUCUACCCUUUGUGAACUAUUAUACCUGUUGCUUCGGCGGCGCCCGCAAGGGUGCCCGCCGGUCUCAUCAGAAUCUCUGUUUUCGAACCCGACGAUACUUCUGAGUGUUCUUAGCGAACUGUCAAAACUUUUAACAACGGAUCUCUUGGCUCCAGCAUUGAUGAAGAACGCAGCGAAACGCGAUAUGUAAUGUGAAUUGCAGAAUUCAGUGAAUCAUCGAAUCUUUGAACGCACAUGGCGCCUUCCAGUAUCCUGGGAGGCAUGCCUGUCCGAGCGUCGUUUCAACCCUCGAGCCCCUGUGGCCCGGCGUUGGGGAUCUGCCACGGCAGGCCCCUAAAACCAGUGGCGGACCCGAAGGGCCCUCUCCUUUGCGCAGUAGCAUUCGCCUCGCAUCGGGAGUCCUCGGCGUCCUGCCUCUAAACCCCCCACAAGCCCGCUUCGGCGGCACCAAGGUUGACCUCGGAUCAGGUAGGAAUACCCGCUGAACUUAA
rnacentral:rRNA from 1 species